GGAAUUUAAAAAAAAAAAAAAAAAAGGCUAGAAAAUGUCAGAGAAGUCUGGUAUUGUAGUGGUUCCGGUCUCUUAUUGAGCCCGCUGGCACACGCUGGACGUCUCUCUUCAGAACCAUCGUUCAUCGUCUCUCUAGAGGCUUUUGUAAGAGUGACACAACUGGGUAGUUUUUGACGAUGGACGACUGUGUGCAACAUUUGUAAGCGUCAUACCAGUGGAUAUCUUUAAGAAGGUCUCAGGACAGUUUGCAGGCAUGUUUGUGGCAAACAGAACAGUGAAUCUUCUCCUGGUCUUAGGACGAGCAGAGUUUCUCCAGGGCGCUGUGGAGGGUCCUCAGGUCUUCCCUCAUCUUGCUCAGAGCGUUCUGGAUCUUGCAGGGCUGAUCCAGAACCUCCACGCUGCAGGUGAACGGGUCGUAGCGGACUGCGAAGGGACGCUUGAUGGCUGCAGAGUAUCUCCUGCAAAUGGGAGUUGACGGAUGCAUCAGAUUCUGACUCGGCACAAACGUUAAGCGGAUAAGAACCACUUUAGAUAUGAUGCUGAUAUCACAACAAGUGGAUACCUCAUCUUCAUCUUUGCGUCCUCGAAGCUCUCAGACACAAAGUACACCGGCUGAGACUCACAACAAGCUCUCCAUACGAGGACAGGAGUCCGGCACCGUAAGCUUUCACGGUGCCGUUCUGCUUGCAGAGGCCAAACUCCACAGUGAACCAGUACAACUGUGGACACAAGGACAAGAGAUGAUGGUUACACAUGAUGGGUUGUUCUCUGCUUCAGCCACUAGAUGGAGCUGAAGGUCCAGGAAAGUGAAGCGAGCCUGCAGGGCCUUUGUGGUUUUCAUAAGAACUAACAGUACAAAUAAAUUGAUGAAUAAGAAACUCACCGUUGACAGUUUCUCUAUGUCUUCAUCUGAAGCUCCAAGCGAGG